CCUAGUAAGGUGUAAGAGCUCUAACCAAUGGGCUAAUCCCUUUGGUCAUUAAGGAGAACGUUUAAAAUAGAGAACGAGUACUAAACUUUAUAGAUCACAUGUCUCUCCAUAUAAUUCCCCAAUUCAUGUUACUCUAAUCUAUGCACACCAAUUUUCUUUUCAAUCUUUUCAAGAAGAUACUAAUGAGAUAUCCUUGGUCUCUACUUAUAUCCUUGGGUUCAAAAUGAACAUUAAUGAGUAACCCAAUUCCAACAUGCAUAUCCCAACAGUAUGGAUUGACAAGAAAAAUGACUCUCUACUCCUGCUGAUUUUGAAAGUUCAAACAAACUAAUAUACUACUCGCUCUGUUGUAGUUGGGAGAUUAUAUAGAUUUAUCCUCCGUAAAAGAGAACAUUUUAUACCUGAAACAAAGCAAAGUGGAUAAGAUGAAGAACUAACUGUGG